GAGUAAAACCCCCCUUCUAAAGAAAGCCUCCAUCCUGCUUCACAUUCAAGGGGCUUCUAGGCCAUUUGCACUUCGUUUACACCUCAUUAAACUGCCCACAUUAUAUGCCUGGGUCCCAGGUGACUGUGGGAAAAGAUCAAGGUUUCCUGCAACCUCACUGGGCAUUUUCAGAAUGAUCUGUACAAGCGUUGACUGAAUGAUUGAUUCCAAGUUCCCCCUUCCUAGGAUUUCAGACCUCCUCUUGACAAGUGAUGAAUGGGCCAUCUUAAUCUUGUUUGGAUCAGAAAGGACCAUACAAUUGAGCUUUAGACAAGACUAAAAAUAUCAAAAGUAGCACUCUGCAAUUUUAUGUGCAUGUGGCUUGAAGCUCUGACAACAACACAAAAGAACCUCCUUUAGACGUCCUUCACUUCCAGGAUCCAGUCCAAACUCCUGGGCUUGGCACAUGAACCCUCCAUCAUCUGGCACCUGGCAGCCCACAUGCUGGAGCCUCACGGAUUUGCUCAUCGCCCUCUGAACACCUGUGGCCUUCUCACUCCUCUGUGUCUUUGCACAUCCUUUCCCCAACCUCAUGCCAGGCCAUUGCAUUGUGAUCCAGGCUCAGUCUUCGUUCUGCUUCGUGGCAUCACAGUCCCUUAUUUGAAACUGAACCAGGACUGCAGUCUUCGACUUUGACAUCAAAUUUGACACCUCAGUGGCCCAAGCUACCUACUGAAAUAUUUACAAGUGAAAUGAUGUGAGAUGUGGGAUUUGAUUCAAAAUGAUCCUUUAUGUAUGAAGAGUGGGGCGUGGAGAAUGCAUGAAGAUACAGAUAAAAUAAACGUGUCUAUGGGUUAAUACAUGCUGUAGCUGGGUACAUGGUGGUUUAUUAUGCUAUUCUUUCUAGUUUUGUGUGCAUCUGAAAUUUUCCAUAAUAAAUACUUUUUAGAAAA
rnacentral:lncRNA from 1 species